UGACCAACCAACCAACCGACCAACCAACCAACCAACCAUGAAUGAACGAACGAAUGAAUGAAACAAACGAAACCAAACAAACCAACGUAGGAACGAAAAGUGUAAAAGUGUCCAUGUUUUGCUGUUCAGGUUUUUCCCUUUUCCUUUGGUGUGUCGUAGCUUUUUGUGCACGCUAAAGUGCUGCUGAGACCAAUAUGCCUGUAUACAGUGCAUACCGGCAUAGAGAGAUUACACGUGUGAUUUUACAUAUGGAAUUUGUUGUUUGUGAACGUGCUUCUGGUCUUUCGGCCGGUUCGUCCUGACUUGGGCUCAAGUUCUUCCAAAAUACAUUUGGAAGAAUUUUCACGAUGCUGCGUAUGAAUGAAUACACCGCGCGUGUCCUGCUGCUCCCAUGUGCCUCCGGGGACUAAGUGACCUGAAGGAGAAGCUCUUCACUUGACUAUCAUUUAUCAUGCGUCAGGUCUGCAGGAUGGAGAAGACGGUGUAGACGAGAUGCAGAGAGAGAGGGAGGGAGGUUCUGGUCGGGUUCGGGUGGUGUGGUGUUAACAAACUGACCCACGCAUCAUCCGCCUGUUGGUGUUUGCUUCAUCAUGUCCCACCACAAAUCAGAACAAUACACAGAUCUAUAAAAGGAACCACACCAAGGUGAUCAUCAACAUAUACGGAUUAAAAGAAAACUAAAGCUGAACCCGGCCUCAGCAUCAGCCCUUCCAGAACUUUGCUGCCUGGGAAUAUCACUGAGGCGUCACCAUUAACAGGACACACACGCAAAGAGAGGGGCUGAAAGGAUGUAAUUAUACAAGCUGUAGAAUAUGAAUUAUGGUCUAAUAAAUCAUGCUAGUGGGCAGGCAAUAAUGCACACUGGGAGAAGUGACAACAAACAACAGUCUAAAUACCCGACAAUUACCUGGUUAAUAAUGCUUUUUCCAGGGACGGACUAUUGACCUGUCACUAAAAGAUGACGCUCGCCAUAAUGGAGCUGUUAACCGAGCGGAGUGUCAUUGUGGAGGACAGCGAGGAUGCAGAGGCUGGCGCUGUCUUACUGUACAUGAUGUGACCAGUCUCAAGUCAUCAUCACAGUCCUAUGUGAUGAGCCAUGAAAGCCUGUGAAGGUUAAACAUGUUCAAACCAUGUAAAGAUAUUCAUUAAAGCUAUAGUGUCAUUCAAUGUUGGAUUUAUCAUCAUGAACAUGUUGUACAAAGUCUCUGAAAAGACAAGGACGUUCCAGGCCACACUACAAAUCUUCUGAAAGGGCCACAAUCGCACGGAAGCCCUGCCUGGAACCACACAAGCGUUAGCUUCCCGUCAACACAAACCAUAAGUUGCUGGAAUAAACUGAUCAAAUGUUAUGAGGACUUUUAUAACACAACGCAUUUCCUGUCGCAUACGACAGGUUCAGGCUCAGACUGUUAAC